AAACUCCGACGCGGCUAAAGGAUGUGGACGCCGCUGCGAGUCACUGCGUCUUUCGAGGUCGCCGCUUUCGGCGAAGAGCGAAGCACUUCUCGAACGAGAGAGCAGCAGCGGGAGAAGCGUGAUCAACCGGCCGUGUCUUCCUCGUCGCCGAGUGCCAUUGUCGUUCCGGUCGAGUAAAAUUGCUUAUCUGACGCCCGGCGAAGGCCGCAAAUGAGGAAAGCCGGACGCCGACGGGGGAGACUGCACGGACGAAAAAAAUCCUGACCGACUGCGCUGCGGGAAGCCAGCGGCCCGUCGUCGUUGUUCACCUCGUGCCGAAAGAACGCCCGCGUCUCGGCGAAGGAACGGCGCAUCAAAACUCGCACGGCGCUACGUUUUUUUUUCCCCCGGCUUAUUUCUCGGCUUUCGAAGACCCUGACGCAAAGAACCAGAUCCAGUCUGCACACCGUACAGUGCUGCAAGACUGGAGGCUUCAAGGCAAGGCUGUCCGAAGUCUGGCCAACCAUCCCGCAAGGCUGAUCCCAAAGUGACUAUGGCACUUCGAGCAAGGACGACUAGGGGCUCGGCACGGAUAGACGAGCCGGGCAGCAGCGGCAACCACGUGAGUGGGCUGACCGAAGAGCGGCCGCGCAGGAGCCUCUCCUUGGCCGUCAAGGUGGCUAUCGUUAUUGCCGUGAUCGCCAUCAACCUGCUCAUCUACGCCAACCUGGAGUAUUUCAAGUCGGACAUACCUUUCAAGGACGACCAAUGAACUCUUCCUUCUCGUCACCGCUCUUUCGGUCACUGCUGUUGAGGACUCUGUGACGAAUCGUUUGAAAGCGAACGCUGUAGAGGCCUGCAGCAUGUUCACACAGGCGUGGCCACAGCAUCAAAUGACAUACCAAUAUGUCAUUUGAUGCAACUGAAUUUCAUGCAGUUUCAUGCAAGUUUUAUGCAACUGAAUUUCAAUGACGCUAGAGUACAAGUAAUGAUGCUCACUGUCCGUUAUUGACGUAAAGGUCAUGAACCUUCAGCCUGUGCAAAAAGCAAAAUAUUUAGUCGCUUGGACCAUAAAAAUGACAUAGUAUUAGUUCGCCGCAUAAGUAAUGCAACCUGUUCGCCAUUUAUGACAAAUAUCACUUCAGGCAGGAAAGCUGUCGUGCAAACUGUGGCACAGCAAUGACAUACGCAGUUACAUAUUAAAAAGUGCGUAGACUGUACAAGAAUUUACACCCUUAAAGGUGAAAAAGGAUGUAAAUGUGCCUAUAACUCCCACCCUAAGGGUAUCAGUUAUAUAAUCAUACCAUAACUGUGUCAGUUGUAGACACAUCUGUACCCUUUUUCACUUUCAAGGGUUUAAGUUAUUUUACAGUGUAAUGUUUUCGCGGCCACAACAUUCGAAACCUGUUACUCUAUGAAAUAGCGGGACAGCUUCAUUUCUGUUCGCCCUAGGGAAUUAUUCAGGCAACACGUCCUUUGCUGUGGAAGCGCAUGUCUGAUAUCUCUUUCUUUUUUGCUUCUUUUUGCUAUUACGACAAAGACUUGCCCUUAAGGCAUAAUUCUUGAUGUCUAUGCGUGUAUUAUAUGCUCCCGAUAUUGGAAUUGGUAGCAUGGAAUAUGAAAAUAAAGAGAACAUUCCAUCUUCUCA